rnacentral:rRNA from 1 species
UACGUAGGGUGCAAGCGUUGCUCGGAAUCACUGGGCGUAAAGGGUGCGUAGGCGGCUUGUCGCGUCGACUGUGAAAACCCGCGGCUUAACUGCGGGACUGCAGUCGAUACGGGCAGGCUAGAGUUCGGUAGGGGAGACUGGAAUUCCUGGUGUAGCGGUGAAAUGCGCAGAUAUCAGGAGGAACACCGGUGGCGAAGGCGGGUCUCUGGGCCGACACUGACGCUGAGGAGCGAAAGCGUGGGGAGCGAACAGG